GAUGAAUGCUGGCGGCGUGCUUAACACAUGCAAGUCGAGCGGAAAGGCCCUUCGGGGUACUCGAGCGGCGGACGGCUGAGUAACGCGUGGGAACAUGCCCCAAAGUGAGAAAUAACUGCCCGAAAGGGUGGCUAAUGCCGCAUAUGAUCUUCGGAUUAAAGGAUUUAUCCGCUUUGGGAGUGGUCUGCGUAUGAUUAGGUGGUUGGUGAGGUAAUGGCUCACCAAGCCGACGAUCAUUAGCUGGUCUGAGAGGAUGACCAGCCAGACUGGAACUGAGACACGGUCCAGACUCCUACGGGAGGCAGCAGUGAGGAAUAUUCCACAAUGGGCGAAAGCCUGAUGGAGCAACGCCGCGUGAAGGAUGAAGGCCCUCGGGUUGUAAACUUCUUUUAUAAGUGAAGAAUAUGACGGUAACUUAUGAAUAAGCACCGGCUAACUACGUGCCAGCCGCCGCAGUA
rnacentral:rRNA from 1 species